rnacentral:rRNA from 1 species
UAAGUCAGCCACGAAUAGGCUAUCCCAACUAACGGCGGGAAAGACUCCACGGAGGGUGUAAGACCCGUGUGGGCGCGUGUUAAAGCUGUGCGGGCUCGGCCUCCAUUCCCUGAGAGUCGCGUUGCUUGAGCAUGCAGCGCUAAGCAGGUCGUAAACUCGAUCUAAGGCUAAAUAUUUCCACAGAACCGAUAGCGAACAAGUACCGUGAGGGAAAGUUGAAAAGCACUCUGGAGAGAGAGUCAAAAGACCGUGAAACCGCUCAGAGUAUAAGCCCAUGGCAGCUUGGAAGGCAUAUCGCUAGCGGGGCAUCGGUCUCCCUUCGCGGGGAGCUGGUGUUACCUUGCUUCUGUUGUGGCUCGUCAUGGUAGGGGGGUCAGGUCCACAUCCCGCCGUCGUGUGGGGGGUUCUUGGGUGUGUUGUGGUUUCUCGGUUGGCUUCGGCUUUCCGGGAGGCUCUUCGUGCUCGGUUCCCUUUUAGACACGGACGUUCAGACUCAGUUGCAAGACGCGAUAAACAGCCCACCACGGCACGUUGUGAGGUCACCCACAGGCUCGACUUUCGAUCGUGAGCCUUGACGCCGAGCAAGCACAAUGCGUGUCGCAGAGGUUCCUAACCAGGCAAAGGUGCCAGGAUCGUGGAACGACACGCGCUCAAGAGUCAGGUUCGGGCGGAGACAGAGUUCUGGUACGAUCCUCUUGCGACGAGCCGGCUUCUGGCCGACAUCCGAUGCUCAGGUCUCCCGCAUGUGCCGCGGGAGAUCGCCUUGACGGUCUGGA